CCAUACAUAGUGUGAAGAAAACAACAAUACAUACAUAAAUAACAAUUAACAAAGUCGGGCUCUUGUUAUUUUGCUCUUGACUUUGCUAUUGGAUCAAUUAUCAAGAACAAUUAUUAUUAUCAUAAAGUUUUGUCCAUAAAAUAAUACAAAUGCCGAGUUUAUCUUUGGAACUUGGAAUAACUGGAACUCGCGAAAGAAGAAAGUUAAACCCUAAAAACUAUUGUUUUAACUGUGUGCAACAGGGCAAGAUCUUUGCGACUGUUUAGAUGAAAAAUGCCCAGGUUGCCAUUUUCCUUGUCCUAAAUGCAGUUCAAACAGAUGUGGAAUUGAUUGCAGAGUUAAUCGGAAAUGGA